rnacentral:rRNA from 1 species
GAUCAUGGCUCAGGAUGAACGCUGGCUGUGUGCCUAAUACAUGCAUGUCGAGCGGAAGUAGCAAUACUUUAGCGGCGAAUGGGUGAGUAACACGUGCUUAAUCUACCUCUUAGAUUGGAAUACCUAAUGGAAACAUUGGUUAAUGCCGGAUACGCAUGGAGUCGCAUGACUCCGUUGUGAAAGGGGCCUUUAAAGCUCCACUAGGAGAUGAGGGUGCGGAACAUUAG